CGGUCCAGACUCCUACGGGAGGCAGCAGUGGGGAAUAUUGCACAAUGGGCGGAAGCCUGAUGCAGCGACGCCGCGUGGGGGAUGACGGCCUUCGGGUUGUAAACUCCUUUCGCCAGGGACGAAGCGUUUUUGUGACGGUACCUGGAUAAGAAGCACCGGCUAACUACGUGCCAGCAGCCGCGGUAA
rnacentral:rRNA from 1 species